AUUGAGGUCUAUCCCAGUGGGGCUUUUUCUGUAGACCUACAGUGUUGGAAACGCUUCAGAGAGUAACUUUCCUUUCCAUAGGUUUCCUUUCCCCACGGAACUACAUGUCAGAUCUGCGGGAAAGAACUACAAGACAGAG
ensembl:snoRNA